rnacentral:rRNA from 1 species
UACGAAGGGGGCUAGCGUUGCUCGGAAUUACUGGGCGUAAAGCGCACGUAGGCGGGUCGCUAAGUCGGGGGUGAAAUCCUGGAGCUCAACUCCAGAACUGCCUUCGAGACUGACGAUCUUGAGUUCGGGAGAGGUGAGUGGAACUGCGAGUGUAGAGGUGAAAUUCGUAGAUAUUCGCAAGAACACCAGUGGCGAAGGCGGCUCACUGGCCCGAUACUGACGCUGAGGUGACGAAAGCGUGGGGAGCAAACAGG